CAGUAGCCGCGGGAAUACGGAGGGAGCUAGCGUUAUUCGGAAUUACUGGGCGUAAAGCGUGCGCAGGCGGUUAUAUAAGACAGAUGUGAAAUCCCCGGGCUCAACCUGGGACCUGCAUUUGUGACUGUAUAGCUAGAGUACGGUAGAGGGGGAUGGAAUUCCGCGUGUAGCGGUGAAAUGCGUAGAUAUGCGGAGGAACACCGAUGGCGAAAGCACUCUGCUGGGCCGACACUGACACUGAGAGACGAAAGCUAGGGGAGCAAAUGGGAUUAGAUACCCCUGUAGUCCCUGUCUCUUAUAC
rnacentral:rRNA from 1 species